UUGGGGGUCCUCCUGGGUUGGGGGGCCUGCCUGGGUUGGGGUCCUCCUGGGUUGGCGUGCCUGCCUGAGCCUGGGAUGGGGGUUUUUAGAUUCUGGUAGCAAAUGUUCACGGGCCCAGGGCAUCUUCAAGUUUUGGAAGACAACACUUGUUAGUGGAUCACUUCAAAAACGAGUCUGCUGAGGUAGAGUGGUACAGGCCUGUAAUCCCGGCACUCUGGAGGCUAAUGCAGGAGAAUUGCUACAAGUUUGAAGCCAAACUAGUAUACAUACUCACGACCUCGGGGACUAAUCUGGGAUCAGACUAUCUUAACCCACGAAGGAUGCAACACACCAAAUUCUUGCCCAUCAGCUCUACUUCACUGUCACCAUUGUGAGAGCAUGGAGCCAGUAGCAAGAACCGGAUGUGUAGGAUUCCUUUAAAGUUGAGUGAGACAUUCUGGGGAGAGUUAGGCCAUGAGGUUUGGAAUUUUAGCAGGGUCUCACUCUGUAGACCGGACUAGCCUUGAACUCACCAUGGAACCCAGGAUGGCCUCAAACCUGCUUCAGCUUCCUGAGUACUGGAAUUAGUUUUUACAGAACUGAUUUCACAUGGUGCGGUGUGAAGACAUCACAGUCACCUAUACGCUUAAGAGACCUUUUGCUUCCUGCUCCAUCUACGUGCGCUGGAGCCCAAAUGAUGCUCGUUUGGGGCAGCAACACUUCACUCUCCACGAAGCACUGCUGCCUAUCUUUGAAUCUCCCACAACAGUACGGAGGCUUCAAGGAUUAUCAUUGCCAUCUUAAUAAACAAAUGGUUUCAGAAGAAGUACCCGAUCUGCCCCGUAGCCUUAUGACUGAUGGGCAACCUAGGCAAGAUUAGAUCCCAGAGGGAUGACCUGUGCUCGUUACUCAAUUUUUCUUUAUUUAGAUUCCUCAUCUGUAAAAUGGAGACAGUAAUAGUUCUCCCUGUUCUAGAUAAAAGUUUUUGGGCAUUCA